GCUGGGUGUAGUGGCGGGCGCCUGUAAUCCCAGCUACUCGGGAGGCGGACAUUGCAGUGAGCCGAGAUCGUGCCACUGCACUCCAGCCCGGGCGACAGAGUGAGUUUCCAUCUCAAAAACAAAAAGGCCAGAGAUAAAAGGCUUCUUUUUUUUCCUUUUUUUUUUUGAGACGGAGUCUCGCUCUGUUGCCCAGGCUGGAGUGCAGUGGCACGAUCUUGGCUCACUGCAACCUCCAC
rnacentral:SRP_RNA from 1 species